UACCCGUAGCACAAGUGGUGGUCAUUAUUAUUGGGCCUAAAGCGUCCGUAGCUGGCUUGUUAGAUGCCUGGGUAAAUCGAUGCGCUCAACGCAUCGAACUCCGGGUAGACCGGCAAGCUUGGGACCGGGAGAGGCGUGAGCUACUCGAGGGGUAGGGGUAAAAUCCUGUAAUCCUUCGGGGAGGACCAGUGGCGAAGGCGUCACGCUAGAACGGCUCCGACAGUGAGGGACGAAGCCCUGGGGCGCAAACCGG
rnacentral:rRNA from 1 species